CUGUAGUGGUAGGUAUGUAUAUUGUGGUGUUCUGUUUGGUUUAAAUUCUCCUCUUAAUCGCAGUAGGGGUGCAAUGUACCUGAAUCGAUUUGGCAUGAACCCAACAAGUUAAUCUUAUCUAUACACACAUUUUAAGAAGCGUUUUUGUUCGAGAACGAAGUUUGACAACUAGAUGUUCCGCUGACUGUCCUGUAGAUGUCCACGCUUCCUACAGCAACACAAAAUGGCGUUCUAGCAACUAAACCGGAAGUGACCUUAUCACAGCUUCUAGACAAGAUACAGACAUGCGGAAAAUGUUUUGGAAAGCAAUACAAAAUGGUGUUACAGCAAUCAAACCUGAAGUUGACCUUUUCACAGCCUCGAGACAAGAUAGAGAUAUGCGCAAUACAAAAAGACGUGUCAGCAACUAAACCGGAAUUGACCUUAUCACAGCUUCUAGACAAGAUAAAGAUAUGCGGAAAAUGUUUUGGAAAGGUCCAGUUUUUCUAUCAAGUCUGUGAAUGUUAUGGGAAUGGGAGUUAAGUGUUAUUUCAGCAUCAGUUAUAUUUGGAAAAAGGUGUCGUCAAAACCAUGUUAUCACUAAAAAGUUGACCGCUGGUCAUGCAGUUUGCGUGCUUACAUUUCGUCCACUGUAUCGCCUCCUGUCUGUGAACGGAAGAAGAACUUAUUAGCUUGCAUAUCAUCAUAUUAGCACAACAGCACACGCAGGUUCUAUCCGGCCGAGGUCAAAAUCAACCUCGAGAAGAAAAGUUGCGUUCUAACGUCAUCUAACACGGAGAAACACCAAGACUUACAUCUACAGGAAAUAAUAAUAGUCCUUAUUUAUACUUGAUGACAAAGUUGAGUUAACGACUUGUCUUACAUUUUUUUAAUUUUAGAAAUGUUCUGAUCCGAACCUCUCUGAUUAUUUUCUGUGCUGUCAGGGUUCUAUUCACGUGUUUAAUCAUGGCGUCAAAGUAUGGUCGAGAUUGUAUUGUUAUGGUGUUUGCAAUGCAUAGAAUCUUGCACAAAAUAUUAAUUUAUAAUUUAGACGCUGGCUCAAAUAGGGCCACCGAAAAAUAAAAUCACUAUUUUCUAAUUGUUUCUAUGUAAUAAUAGGAACCUGUUAAACACUAAUUUCAACAGCAUAUAUAUAUAUAUAUAUUUGAAGUGACCUGCCCCACGCUGCAACAUUUACUGCUAAAUGGUAGUAGUCCUUGUACAUGUAUAUCUACUGCUAAUAUUUCCAUUGAGGUCUCAUCAGUAUAUAGUUUAUAGGUAAAUGUGUUCCUCAAGGCACAUUGACCUCCUAACCUGCAUCUCUGUUCCAACCUCUAUCAUAUGAUACCGACACAUUUAAAUAUGACCCUGGACAAUAUUUUCUUUACACCCAAAUGUCAACCUAUAAUUGUAUUCAUGAUGUAUAUGAAUAUGAUCGAACAACAGGCUACGUCUAUAUCAGUUUUCGUCUGCCUGUAUUUGUAUGUAACAGUAUAUAUAUGUAUAUAUAUACUAAUUUACAGUGAAAUGAAAAACUGAAACAAGAUACACAAUUGAUAUACAAAAAGGCAAUGGUAUAAGGAAGAUAACUCAAAUUGGUUGUAAAAAAAUAGCAUUCAGUCGGUGCUGUAGCUUGACCUCAUCAAGCUAAUGAGUCAAUAUUGCCCAUCGACCUUCACGAGAUCUUCCCUGGGAAUUCAAGAUCCACAAAAAGUGACCCGUAGAUAGUUAAAUAUAAAUAUAUUCAUAUACUAGUCUUUGCAUAUUAUAUAUUAUGCCAAUCUUGUAAGGUAUAUUAACAUACUCAUUAUAAUAUAGUGAAAAUAUAAUUAUAAAAACAACUUGUUUCUACUUUACUAAGCACAAUUCAAUGUUGAUUAAUGGGGCAAGCAUAGUCACAUAGUGUACAGCCAGUUUAUAGGUUUGGUUUUAUUUUUUUCACAUCCUAUUACUAGCUUAGGUCAUUUAAGGACGUGCCUCCGUGUAUUUUGUGGAUACCUGCAUGUGUGUCAGUUUGCUGGAGACAGGGUAUGUUGGAGUAUGUGCCUCCUUAUGAUAGCGC